CAGGAUGAACGCUGGCGGCGUGCUUAACACGAUGCAAGUCGAACGGAGUUUUUAACGGAAGUUUCGGAUGGAAGUUUAAGAACUUAGUGGCGGACGGGUGAGUAACGCGUGGGUAACCUGCCUCAUACAGGGGGAUAACAGUUAGAAAUGACUGCUAACACCGCAUAAUAUAGCGAAACCGCAUGAUUUUUGCUAUCAAAUAUUUAUAGGUAUGAGAUGGGCCCGCGUCUGAUUAGCUAGUUGGUGGGGUAAAAGCCUACCAAGGCGACGAUCAGUAGCCGGCUUGAGAGAGUGACCGGCCACAUUGGGACUGAGACACGGCCCAAACUCCUACGGGAGGCAGCAGUGGGGAAUAUUGGACAAUGGGGGAAACCCUGAUCCAGCGAACCGCCGCGUGAGUGAAGAAGUAUUUCGGUAUGUAAAGCUCUAUCAGCAGGGAAGAUAAUGACAGUACCUGACUAAGAAGCCCCGGCUAACUACGUGCCAGCAGCGGC
rnacentral:rRNA from 1 species